rnacentral:rRNA from 1 species
UACGGGGGGAGCAAGCGUUGUUCGGAUUUACUGGGCGUAAAGGGCGCGUAGGCGGCCACCGCAAGUCGACUGUGAAAUCUCCGGGCUUAACUCGGAAAGGUCAACCGAUACUGCGGGGCUAGAGUGCAGAAGGGGCAACUGGAAUCCUCGGUGUAGCGGUGAAAUGCGUAGAUAUCGAGAGGAACACCUGCGGCGAAGGCGGGUUGCUGGGCUGACACUGACGCUGAUGUGCGAAAGCUAGGGGAGCGAACGGG